rnacentral:rRNA from 1 species
UACAGAGGGUGCGAACGUUGCUCGGAAUCACUGGGCGUAAAGCGCACGUAGGCGGAUUGCUAAGUCAGGGGUGAAAUCCUGGAGCUCAACUCCAGAACUGCCUUUGAUACUGAGGAUCUUGAGUAUGGGAGAGGUGAGUGGAACUGCGAGUGUAGAGGUGAAAUUCGUAGAUAUUCGCAAGAACACCAGUGGCGAAGGCGGCUCACUGGCCCGGUACUGACGCUGAGGUGCGAAAGCGUGGGGAGCAAACAGG